UUAUUCUAUUAUUCCAUAUAGGUGCAAUUCUGUAAAAAUUGGAAUAAACUAAGGGGCCAUUGGGAAUAAAAUAAAGCAAUUAAAUGUCUAAUUAAGUCUAAAACCAUAUCCUCACACAUAGUGUUUAGUGUUUGACAAUUUUUAGAAGAAAUUAGAGGAAGAAAAAAAGGAAUACUUAAGCAUUGGAAAGUUCACGAUAUUCCCAAAGCUUUUUUGCUUUGUUAAAUUGCUUUUGAAAAUUGAUUAGCCUUUAGAACACAAAGAAAAGAGAGGGAGAGAGAGAGAGAGAGAGAAGAGAGAAAGAGAGAGAGAUGUGUAUGCUGGUGGUUUGUAAGGAUUGCAGCAAAUAUACAUGGAAGGGGUGUGGCCGCCACCUUCCUGGUCUCUACAAGAGCGUAGAGAAGGGGAAGCACUGCCAUUGCCGCCCUUGGCCGGGUGUCGUCGUGCCACCGGAAGAUGUCCCCGGCUUGAAGCCAUCGAACGUGCAAUCAUCAUCUGUCUCUACAGGUAAGACAGAUGUUAAGAAUAAUUAGAAUUACUACUACUUCUCUUCACUUGUGACGUUCGUGAACAAAUAACAACAAAGAUCGCAUCUCUCUCUAGUUUGAGUCACUUAAAAUAUUUCAUAUAGUAUUAUGAUUGCGAAAAUAAUUAAUAGUUUUGUAAAGGACGCUAUCGUGUCCUAUUCUUGGUUAAUGAAACAUUGAGUCAUGUAUUAUCGUUUAAAGUUCUCUAUACAAACAUAUGAAUUUAUGAUAUAAAUACUAAAGUUUAAGAGUGCAA